rnacentral:rRNA from 1 species
AGAGUUUGAUCAUGGCUCAGGACGAACGCUGGCGGCGUGCCUAAUACAUGCAAGUCGAGCGAACCAAUAAGAAGCUUGCUUUUUGUUGGUUAGCGGCGGACGGGUGAGUAACACGUGGGUAACCUGCCUGUAAGACCGGGAUAACUCCGGGAAACCGGUGCUAAUACCGGAUAGAUUAUCUUUCCGCCUGGAGAGAUAAGGAAAGAUGGCUAUUGCCAUCACUUACAGAUGGGCCCGCGGCGCAUUAGCUAGUUGGUGAGGUAACGGCUCACCAAGGCGACGAUGCGUAGCCGACCUGAGAGGGUGAUCGGCCACACUGGGACUGAGACACGGCCCAGACUCCUACGGGAGGCAGCAGUAGGGAAUCUUCCGCAAUGGACGAAAGUCUGACGGAGCAACGCCGCGUGAGCGAAGAAGGUCUUCGGAUCGUAAAGCUCUGUUGUUAGGGAAGAACAAGUAUCGGAGGAAAUGCCGGUACCUUGACGGUACCUGACGAGAAAGCCACGGCUAACUACGUGCCAGCAGCCGCGGUAAUACGUAGGUGGCAAGCGUUGUCCGGAUUUAUUGGACGUAAAGCGCGCGCAGGCGGUCCUUUAAGUCUGAUGUGAAAUCUUGCGGCUCAACCGCAAGCGGUCAUUGGAAACUGGGGGACUUGAGUGCAGAAGAGGAAAGCGGAAUUCCACGUGUAGCGGUGAGAUGCGUAGAGAUGUGGAGGAACACCAGUGGCGAAGGCGGCUUUCUGGUCUGUAACUGACGC